UGUAUGUGAAUUUGCAUAUGUUGGUAUUGGAAAAUAAAUAUGGUGUCUUUUUGCGCUAAAUUUGGCGUCUAGUUCCUCGCGCAGUUAAAAGUUUUCAAAUAUAAUAUGUUGACUUAUUAAAUUAUAAAGCAGUUUAUUCGUGAUGAUAAGUGUGUGCCUAAACUAAGAAAUCUUGGAUACAUUUAAUUUGUGUUUUACAGAGUUUAAAAAUUUUGUGCCAAAUGAAGUAAUAGAAUUUCCAAUAAGAAGCGCCAUUACAUGAAUGUCUUUAGCAUCAGAAGUUCUUCAAAGCAACUACAAACAGCGCAGAUCGGAUAUACAUACAUAUAUCAUCUUUAUGCAAGGACAACUCUGCACCUGUUCGCCAUAAAUGUCAUUGUAUUCCAUCAAAAAUAUUUAUGUAUUAUUCAAUGACAUUGUUUGAUCGGAUAACCUCAUUCAUACUUUCUUCAAUAGUUUCGAUAGUUUCGAUCACAGGGGAAGGGAGUGCAAAACAGCUGGUCGGUCAAUGAGCGGGCAAUCAAUGAGCAAGUUGUGGAUAAUAUCUAUUAUUUUCAUAACUGUUCUCUAAACCUUAGUUUUUAAAACAGGCAACG